UACGUAGGGUGCGAGCGUUGUCCGGAAUUAUUGGGCGUAAAGAGCUCGUAGGCGGUCUGUCGCGUCUGCUGUGAAAACUCAGGGCUUAACCCUGAGCUUGCAGUGGGUACGGGCAGACUAGAGUGCGGUAGGGGAGACUGGAAUUCCUGGUGUAGCGGUGAAAUGCGCAGAUAUCAGGAGGAACACCGGUGGCGAAGGCGGGUCUCUGGGCCGUAAC
rnacentral:rRNA from 1 species